UGGCAGCCGACAGCGGCCCCGAGGCCGUACAGCCGAGGAGAAGCUGACAGACGGGAACAUGUUCUAAACGCGUGUACGUUCACACAUCUUACACUAGCAUUGAAGUACUUAUGUGGUUUACACAUAGCUUACAGACAACACGCAUUUUGCAUACGCGUCUGUUCCAAUUUGGACACGUAAGAUGCGAAACUGCUUCACAGUCUCCGGAUGUGAGGCAAAAUCUUUUGGGUGGGAUAGUGUUAGUGUGUGUGUAGGGAGGUUUCCCUGCUGCGGGGUCACCAGACUGUCUUGAGACUUCCCAGGGAGCUGAAUGGAAGCACUCUGCUGUUUCUUUGUGAAGGGGUGCUGAGGGAAUUCCGCAAUUAAAGGCUGGAGAAGAACCAACAGGCAAACCUGCCUGUGUUUACCAUCCGGAGUGGUUUUGUGCAGCAGAAACAGAGCUCGAGGAAUAGGAGCAGCACAGAGGCCUCAGUUGUUCCUCUACCUUGGGACAUGACGUGGAUCUGCUGGCUUAACAAGCUCUGUGACUGCGUGGAUCUAAAAGGAGGAGGCAAAGCCUUGUGAACAGGAAAGCACAGGCUGUCACACUGCAGUUAGAAAACAAGAUAGAAGGGCCAGAGUUGUUUGAUAUAAAAACAAAUAAACAAACUGAAAACAAACCAAACCAAAACACCACCAAGAAGCUAAAUGUAAAAGCUUAAGUUUUUCCUAAAAGAAAAUGAAAGAUGAAUAUAGCUUUUAACAUCACUUGUUGCUGUUUCAGAGAGCCAUUGAGACUCCAAAUGAAUCAGCAUGGUUGUACAAUGGUGAGGGCACAGAGAGGCUGGAGGGAAACUGGCACUGCGAUGAUCCCUGCUUAAGAAUAAUGCAAGGAACUGCCCCUUUUCACUUCCAGAAAAAUCAGGCUGGGGGAAGUACUGACCCCAUGCAUAGAAGUCCCACUUGCAGCAGCAAAAUCCUUUUGCCUUUGAUUUACUUUUUGUCUCUCUCCCAUUUUUCUUUAAGAAGAGGAGGGGGCUCUGUCCUGGCUUGUCACUGGUCUGGUUAAUGUCAUCCCCUUUGCUCUCAUGUAGUGUAUCACAGGAUUUUUGCAGGAUAUACAAAAAUAGUUUCACUAGUUAAGAGAGCUGUAGUGACACAUUCCUCGUUAAGGUAACAUACAGAAGCAGAGAGGCUGGAGAUAAGCUGUGGGGUACCUGUUGGGAAAGGAAAACAGGAAUUCGUGAAGAGGAAGAAGCUGAAGAGCUUUGGAUACCAUGGUUGGAGGUGUCGUAUGCAAGUGCAGGCUAGUCAGGAAUAGCUGGGUUGUUUCUACAGCUGGCCUGUUCGCUUGAAUAACCCUGCUGAGAGAAAGCGAACCCGUUCCUGCCUGUCAGCAAAACCCCUGAGAGGAUGAAGCGGCCGCACUGCCACCGCGCGUUUCCUGCCUGGAACAGCACGACCCUGAGCCCUGCUGCUUUUCCUCCGCGGGUUACCGCCUACCAAGAGGGUGUGUAGCGGGCUGGGGGUUAAGCCCGUGCUUAGAGACCUGCGAUCGGUGUUUUAUUGCAUUUAUAUUUGUCGGAAGGGUUAAAGCUGAAGUUAAAUCCAACUGUCUUUUGCAGGAGAUACAGAUUAGAGACCAUAAUUCUCCUGAAUCUUAUAUAACUCUGCUCAGGUGGAAUGAGCUUGGUGCUACAGUACUGUUGUCAGAAGAAACAGGGUCAAAAUGUGAGUAGAAACAUCUAGUGAAAUUUACACUGAAUAUGAAGUACAGUCCUUCUGUAAAAAUGCUAGCAGAAACGAUUGUCAGAUAUGGCAGAAAGAGAACAACUAACUUGUCUUUGGCAUUGCCUAUUCUUUCUGUCGACUGCAGCUGCCAUGCUCUUGAUGAGAUAGAAAACCAUGAGACUGAGAAGAGCACAACUGAGGAUUAAAAGUCAUCAACAAAAGAUAGGUCAAUGGAAUAUUAUUAAUUUUGAGGAGCACAUUUUGUGACAACAGAAGUCCGUCUGAAGUAAACGCAGGACCUGCUACAGGAGUACCAGAGUAAAAGGAAGAGGCACAAAUUGCUAGAGGAAAUUAACAUAGAAAUAGCUGAUAGGAAUAAAGAGUCUAUGUUUAUUUAGGGAUGUUUUAGGGGUUGCCUACUGAAAACUAAAACAAGACCUGUUGAGGUAGUCUUGGGAGAAGAAAAGCAAUAAAGUAGCACCAACACUAUUAGUGAUGUUUGAUGUUCAAGACAUUUUGCAAUUGUAUUCUGUAAGGGAACAGUUUAACAGUUAUGUCUUUUUUUUUUUUUUUUAAGCUGAGCGUGUCAGCUCCUUGACUUCAAACAGUCAGUGUUUGUUAGCCAGGAGUAAAGACUGAGAAGUAAGAAGAGGAACCACGGCUUAUUCUGAGGAAGGUGGAAUCUGUUUCUAGCUUACAGAUGAGAAAGAGUGACAUAUUCUGUUCUUUUCAAGAGGAAAGAAUGUAGGAAAGAAGGUGGAAGAAAGAACAGUGUAAAGAGAUGGGAAGAGGGUGUGAACUUUCAAUCACAGUGAAAAUGGAUACUUUAUCUUCCGUAUAAAAAUAGCAAGAACAGUUCAUGAAAUAUUUGAACUUGUGGUCGAGUCAAUCUACUCCAAACUUUAAUGUACUUUGAAUUGUGUUCCCAUAUUUUUAGUGUCUCUUUGUUGAAAAAAAAAAUUGCAAAUAUAGACAAAUUAUAUGUUAUGAUAAGCAUACUAGUAAGACUACCAAUAUACUAAACUGUUGUAAUAAACAUAAAUCUGAAAAUUUAAAAUAAGUUUCUGAAAGCAUAAAUGUGUUGAUAUAUCAUAAAAUGUCCAAUUAAAAUUCGGGAUAUUUUAUUUUCAUAUAUCAAUCUUUAUGUUUUUUUGAGUGAGACAGAGAAUAAAGAAAAAUGAUAUGUUCCACUUGGUCACACAAGCCUGUAAGACUUUUUAAAAAUUAUUUUAUGCAAGAAAGAAUAAAGGGUAGGUUGAAGCUAUCACAUUAUGUACUGGAGAGGCAAUUGGAGUACUAAUGCAGUUUCCUCUUUCAUAUCCACUAUAUGAGACUCAACUCAAAUGUACACGAUUUUCAUAAGGAAUUGAAGAUUCACCUCUUGAUACACUUACAAGUUGAGGCCCACAUAGAAAAGAAGAUUGCAAUAUCCUAUCAGUAUGACAUGGAAGUGAAAAAAACCCACGCAGUUAUACUGAGUUAUUAUGAUUCAAGAGCUUACAGAUCUAGAAGGGGAUUUUUACACAAGCACAGUUGUUCAGAAGCAAGGAUAAAAAAUGAUGGGUUUUAAGUAAUGACUGGGUAGUGUGAUCUAAGUGUCACUGAAGGUGAGAAGAUUUUUGCAUGAUUUUCAGCAGCAAUGUCAUCUCUUUUGUUGUUGUUGUUAUUGCUUUAAAUUGAAGUAGCAGGGAUAAGGAAUAGCUUAAAUGAAGAUAUUUCUUGCAUGUUAAACAAAAUGAGGCAUUGGAAAGUGUGAACUUUAACUUUGACCAAGAGGAAAGGUUUUUUGCUUCAAAAUAUGGCAAAACCCAAUUCGAAUAAUUGUACAAAAAGUAUUCUAUUGCUUGCAAGCACUAGACACUGAAGAGGAUCAAGGGUAUGCAUCAACAUCAUUAUUAUCAAGUAACUGCUUGUAUAAGAUGUUGAAGGGAGGCUAAAGUAAGCUUGAGAAAGCUUAAGAGGGUCAACCUUCCUUCAUUCUUUAAAUCACUUUAGAUUAGGAGUCACUGAAGUCAAAAUGGAGUCAUAGCCCAUGAAAUCAGAGGAACUGCUUCAUUAUUGUCAAGUACACUUAAGGAGAGCCAGGCUAAGCUACUGUACAGAGGAUUCAAAUUUAUAAACAUUGUUGUGCACUCAGUUCUUUCUACUGUGAUUUGGCCUUUUGUUCUGCUGCUCUCUGUUCUUCCUGUAUCACCUCACUGUGCCUGUGUAAGGUGAUUUUCCUCACUCUUUUGGGUUUUGAUGAAGCAUGGAAUUUUUCUGGGAGUGGUUGGCUUGCUAGUCUAUAUCAGAUUGUAUUCCUCUCCAGUCUGUACAGAUUCUACCACAGGAUGGUAUUCCCCUGAAUUUCCCCAAAAAGCAAUCAAUAAAAGCAAGUUCUUGCAGGCUGUUCAGCAUCUAAUUAUCUGCUUUGUGUGUACAAUAUGGAUCACAAGAAUCUUUAUAGUGCAGGUCUGUAUUAAAUCACAAGGAUGGGAUGCAGAGAUUUUGGAGAUUUUACGAGGAAGCCUGGCAGAAAUUGCAACUCCAGUGGGAGCAGGAGAAUGACUGAGACUGAGGAAUGGCUUGUUGGGCACAUAUGUUAGUGUUAAUUAACUGUGCAUUUGUCAUCUGCUGAAGGAAAAGAAGUAACAGAGGAUUGGUCAUGCUGAGUGGAAAAGGCACAAGAAAAGUGCUAUGGCUGGAAUAGAUGGCUCUGCUGAAAAGGAAAGAGGUGAUCUGGAUGGAAUUGCAGAGGGACAGAAGGAGGAGAUGGCUUGGUUGAGUGAACACACAUGCUUAUCAGCAUCAGGUAUUUUUUUUUCUAACUCUUAUGAAGACUAAUAGCUGAAACUUGGCAAGAGUGCACAGUGCCAGAACUAGUGGCACUGCUCACUGUAUUUCAGCCCUCCUCAUUUCCUUAACACUUCUCUGUCAGAGAAAAGAGGACCUGAGAUUGUUAAGGUCACUGAAAGGUCCUUUAGGGAUUAGUAUUGGGCAUAAAAGUCAUUGGCACUGAAGGUAAAUCAGAGCUCAUAGAUUAAAUUGAAAAGAGUAUGUGGAAAGAACAAAGUUACAAAUUCAAAGAUUCUGAGUCAAGAAAGUCAUGUAAGACAUACAUGGUGUUUGUACAGUCUUAGCCUGACCAAACAAAAAUCUGAAUAUAAAUAGCAUAAAUCAAAUAGCAAGGCAUUGUACAAGUAUUAUGUGGGAUGUGCAAGCUAUAUAAAUUCAUAUAUUGACUAGUUAUAACUUUGAAUUGCAUUGAGAAUUAUGUCAUUAAUAAUCAAGGACAAAAAGUGAAGCAUGCAAUCAAAAAUCAUGCUAAUGGAAAAUCUCAAUUGCCUGUAACUUUGUCUUGUACUGCUAUGAUCAUCAGCAAAACUGUAGCUAAAAAGUAAAUAAUGGAAAUUAAAUGGAUCUCAAUGAAGGAUCCUGGAGGAACCUGCUGGGAGAGAGAUAUGAUGGAUUGCUAAGAUUGCUAGGUGGAACACUGAUGCCAUUAAACUUGCAAAUCUUCAUGUGAAAACCAUAAUUCAACAUCUGUCGUAUAGAAGGAAAAAAGAAAACAUUUCAAAGUAAAGCCAAGCUUCUCAGGUGAGUACUUGUGCGUAUAAUGAAAACAGCACAAAAAUGUUCUGGAAGAAGUGACAUACGGUCGUGAGUAGUGAUGUCUCUUUACAACCUUUUUUCAUUCUUUUUCGAUGAAAGGUCUGGGGGCCUCUGUUAAAUAUUUCCAUGCACUUUUCAAAGUAUGAUGGGAAAAGAUAGUUGUAAAAGAGGAUAGAGGCAUUAAUGUUCAAAAGUCAGUCACAGCUCCUCUAUCGUAGGCUUCCAGAAAAGGAUACUGCAGAAACUACAUCUUAUGUCAGGCAAAUCAAAGUGAUGGCCAAGGCUGAGGAAAGGCAUUUCAUGUUUUUUACAGAUGCUGAGAAAUGGAGAACUAUUCAUUAACGUGUCCUCUAAGCUGUGGUGAUUUUCAAGGAGCAAGAGAAAAGGGAAAUCAAAACUGUCUAGAGCUGCCAAUUUGAGGAAUUUAUAAUACAUGUUCAAAUCCCAGUUCUGACCUCACACAAACAAGAAUUUAUUUUUCUGUUGUAUUAGGCUGUCUGUGUGAGAUAAGACGAGGCCAUCAGUCCAGUUUUUAACAGAUCAGGGUAAUUUUCACAAAUCAUUGUAAAUGACCUUUAUUUUCAGCCUCAACAGAAAUAUAUAUAUAUAUAUAUAUAAGGCAGUGGACCAUUGUAGUUUUAUUUAUAUUCUUUUCUUUGGAACCAAAAUUUCCAAACCUUGGUCAAAGCAGAUGAUGAAGCUGUAGUGAUGGACUAUCUCAUACUUCUGUUCUGUCUGACACACAAUUUCUGCAAUAAAACCGGGGUACUGAUCUUAAAAGCAACUAGUUGUAUCACUGUGAUGAGUAGUUAGAAAACUGCAAAAUAUAAAACUUCAAUGAUAAAACGAAUCCAACUUUGUUAUUCCUUAAAAUAUUAGGUAAGACCAGAAGUGAUACAUUUUACCGAAGGUAGGCAUCCUCAUCCAACACUGAGUAAGGAAAGAGACAAACAUACUUUCCUAGAGAUGAGAAGUACUUCUUGCAAAGAGGCCCAGCACAACUUUGUAAGCAAAGAAGGAACAGAUCAAAUGUUUUUACCUUCAUUUCAUCAGAUCUUACUUUAAUGUCAAGUAAUAAUUAAUAUACUCUUUUGACAUAUUUCUGAACUAUUUAUUACUUCUCAUUUCACUUCAGAUUUUAUUAUCCAAGAGUGACCAGCUGCUAGAGAACUGGUAAUAAUCCACUCCCUCAAACAGAUGCGAACCAACAUAAAGCAGCGAGUAAGGAAGAAAGGAUUCCAGGGUUGAUCACCAUUGCACCACACUCCUCCAGCGCGGAAUUUUGAAAGUAGGGUGUCCUUACCAUACACACAUUUGUUGGUUUGUGAUGUGCAUAAAUAACUUUUUCUAUCCUCAACAGAAAGAAAACCCACAGAUGAGUUCAUCCUACUGUGGAAGAUGCUCACAGAACAAUAAGUCUAGAAGACUUCCACUUUCAUGGGUGUUUGUAAGUACAGGCGUUGGAGGGGACAUGCCACAUGCAUGUGUGACCAUCCAGGUGUGCCCAGAACUGAGGAGGUUUUACAUUAGUGCCAGAGCUCAAAUGAGACAGAAAUGUAGCAAGGUAGUGCACACUUUGCUUAAGUAACAGGUUGAGAUCUAUCCUGUGGCACGAGGAAGUGACCACGAUGGGCAGAAUCCAUUAGCACCAUGAAUUUUGCCAAGUGCAACUAGAAUGAACUUAAUUUUGAUGUCCUUUGCAGCUGGGUAGCAAGGAGUAGAAAAUACCAGUUUGGCAUCUACCACGUGUUGAGCACGUUUUUUUUUUUUCUAUCUAUUUUGCUUCAAAACAUGCAUUGAAAAAUACUGUGGGUAUUUACCUUCAGAUACUGAAAGUUCUAGAGAAUAGUGGGAAGGGUUAGUGAAAGGAAGAUGUAUGCUCUGUAGAGGAAGAUCAAGUUAAUGACCAUUUUUAAACAGACUGAAAAUUUGUAAAUCCAUGGGACUUUGUGUGCACCCAUGAGUGCUGGGAGAGAUAACUCAUGUAAUCACAAGAUUCCUCUCUACUGUCUUCAAAAGAUUAUUGUGGUCAAAGCAGACUGUAUAGAAGGAAAAUGUCACCCUUCAUGAAGGACAAGAAGGAGGAUCGAGAGCACUACAAGAUGGUCAGCCUCACCUCAGUCCCUGGGAAUUUGAUGGAGCAAAUCCUCCUAGAAAUAAUUUCCAAACAUAUAAAGGACAAGAAGCUGUACAGAGAGUAGUCAGCAUGGUUUAUGAAGGGAAAAUGAUGCCUGAACAACCUAAUAUCCUUGUAUGAUAAAACCUGGGGGAGAAGAAGAGAGCAUUUGGUAUUAUUUAUUUUGGCUUUAACAAGUAUUUCUACACUUUGUUCCAUAACAUGCUCAUAGACAAACUGAUGAAACACAGACCAGACAAGUGGACAUGGAAGCAAAAUCAAAACUGGUUGAGCUGUUGAACUAAAGGAGCUGAUCAUCAGAACAGAGACCAUCUUGAAGUCAGUCCAAAGUUAUGUAUUUCAUCUGCCAAUAGUGGGACCAAAGCUGCUUGACACAGUCUUUAGAGAUCUAAACAAUGAAGCACAGUGCACUCUCAAGAAAUUUGCAGAUGAUCCAAAAUUGGUAUGCUUGCGGAUAUACUAGGUGAUUGUAUUGCCAUUCAAGUGAACAUUGACAUGCUGGAGAAAUGGGCAAAUGGGCAUCUAACAAGGUUCAACAAAAAUAAGUACAAAGUCCUGCUCCUGGGUAGGAAAAUGUCCAUGCCCCAGUCCAGUCUGGGGCUGAGCUACUGGAAAACAAAUUUGCAGCAAAAGACCUCAAGGCUUUGGUGAGCAAAUCGAUCAUGAUGCAGCAAUGUCUUCUUGGUGCAAAAGCCAAUGGCCUUCUGGAAUGCUGUAGGAAUAGCAUUGCCAACAGAUUGAGGGAAGUGAUCCUUCACCUCUGUUCAGCAGUGGUGAGAUAGUGACUGUAUGCAGCUUUGGAUCCUCUGGUACAAGAGGGACAUGGGAAAGUGGAGCUAAGGACUACAAAGGUGGUUGUGGAUCUGAAGCAUGUGAGAAGCCUAAGAAAGCUGGAAUUAUUAAUUUUAGAAAAAAGAAGGCUUGGGGAAGUCAUCUUGAUUAUGAGUGUGAAUGCUUGAUGGAGUGAGUAAAGAAGGCAGCUAGGCUGUUAGUCAGGUCUAGUGAAGGAAUGCUUUGAGAUUGACCAAGAACUGGAAUAAGUAGCUCAGUGUGGCUGCUGAUCUCCUCUCCUUGGAGACAGGCAAAACACAACAGGAUAUGGGCCUGAGUAGCCUGCUGUAGGUGAUCUUGCUCUGAGCUGGGUAUUGGAUGAAUGUUAGUGAUUCUCUGAGUCUGUUAUUCUGAUAGUCCAGGUAUCUGAAUGAUUAAAUCAAACUGAAAAUUGUAACUGAAGUAAUAUUGUCUAAUCUUGAGAUCUAAUUUGCCUGCAAUUUAUUUUCUGACCCACCUGUUCAAGACAUAGACAAAUGCAUAUAGUAAUUAAAAUAGAAAAAAGUUAUGUCUGCAGCACAAAUUAUAUGUCACAAACAUAUAUGUCACAAAUAUAUGUCUUAUUCUUGCAAGACUUAAUUAAAUAUAUGCAUUUUAAGAUAAAAUAGAUGAAAGUAAGUACCUAAUAACAGAAAAGAAAGUGUUAACAUAAUUAGGGAACAAGGUCAUUCUUUAUUAACUUUAUUAACAUUUGUUUACUAAACUGAUCUACCUAUUUGCUUCCUACCUAAUUAAAAUUAACUACAAGAGGAGUAAUUAUACUUGCAAUAAGAUUUGCUCUUAAUAGGUAUUUACUUGAGCACUAAUUUUAUAUCUGCAUCUGAUUUUGUCAUAUUGCAUUUUAAUAUGUGGAUGCUCAUAUUCCUUCUUAGAUAGUUUCAAAAAUGAAAUUACUAGUGUUGUGUAUAAUCACUGAGACUUCUGAGAGCCAUUUUGGUCAGGAGGGAGAUUAUUUGUCACUUCAUCAUGGCAAGAUGAAAUUUAAGCUGAGGAGCUAGCUGUCUUGUAAAUGUACACACAGCCCAUGUUAAUGUCCAUGUUAAUGUCCUUCCUCUGAAUAGUAUUAAGUGGUAUAGACUUAUGUGUGCACCAUUGGCUUAUGCUGGAUACACAUAGAAAUAUCUGUUUAUUUGAGAAACAGGGCAUUUGUCAGGGUCUCGCAGCACAGAAACACUCAGGGGAAGAGCAGAAUUCAGGCUGCCAGUCUCUCUUUAUAUAUUUUCCACUGACUCCAGUUAAUAGGCAGAAUGUAGAGUAUGAAUACUUAGUUAAGAGAUAAUAUAAUAAUUUAAAGAACGAAUUGUCAUUUGACUACUGUACACCAGCAAUGAAAUUAGUGGGACAUAAGCCACUGAUACCAGAAGUUACCAGUUGUUAUCUGCAAUAGUGUUAUAAACCAAUGAUAAAUGAAUAAAACCAACAUAUUCAGUGACCGUAUUUGGCCAGAGAAUGGAAGCAAAUGUUCAAAUUUCAAAAGCAAGAUCCAGCACAGUAUGUUAAUUUCAAAUUGGUAAACUAGUACUUUAUGAGAGCUCUGCAACUGAAAUACCCAUUGUCUAUAAUUAUUUAUAAAAUAUAUUCCUUCAAGUCUAAUAAAUAUGCGUGCAAAAACAAA